rnacentral:rRNA from 1 species
UACAUGUGGGGCAAGCGUUGUUCGGAAUUACUGGGCAUAAAGGGUGCGUAGGCGGCGCGUCAAGUCACUGGUGAAAGUUUGCGGCCCAACCGUAAAAUUGCCGGCGAUACUGGCGUGCUCGAGUGUGUGAGGGGUUGGGGGAACGAGUGGUGUAGCGGUGAAAUGCGUAGAGAUCACUCGGAAGGCCAGAGCCGAAGGGGCCCAACUGGUACGCAACUGACGCUGAGGCACGAAAGCGUGGGGAGCAAACAGG